UACGUAGGGUGCAAGCGUUGUCCGGAAUUAUUGGGCGUAAAGAGCUCGUAGGCGGUUUGUCGCGUCUGCUGUGAAAACUCAGGGCUUAACCCUGAGCCUGCAGUGGGUACGGGCAGACUAGAGUGUGGUAGGGGAGAUCGGAAUUCCUGGUGUAGCGGUGGAAUGCGCAGAUAUCGGGAGGAACACCGGUGGCGAAGGCGGUUCUCUGGGCCGUUACCUGACGCUGAGGAGCGAAAGCGUGGGGAGCGAACAGG
rnacentral:rRNA from 1 species